rnacentral:rRNA from 1 species
UACGUAGGUGGCAAGCGUUGUCCGGAUUUAUUGGGUUUAAAGGGUGCGUAGGCGGUCUUAUAAGUCAGUGGUGAAAUACGGCAGCUCAACUGUCGAGGUGCCAUUGAUACUGUAGGACUUGAGUACAGACGAGGUUGGCGGAAUUGAUGGUGUAGCGGUGAAAUGCAUAGAUACCAUCAAGAACACCGAUUGCGAAGGCAGCUAACUAGGCUGUAACUGACGCUGAGGCACGAAAGUGUGGGGAUCAAACAGG